GACGAACCGUGCGAACGUUGUUCGGAAUCACUGGGCUUAAAGGGCGCGUAGGCGGCCCCGCCAGUCCCGGGUGAAAUCUCCCGGCCCAACCGGGAAAGUGCCCGGGAUACUGCGGGGCUCGAGCGAGGCAGGGGCGGGGGGAACUUCCGGUGGAGCGGUGAAAUGCGUUGAUAUCGGAAGGAACGCCGGUGGCGAAAGCGCCCCGCUGGGCCUCUCCUGACGCUGAGGCGCGAAAGCCAGGGGAGCAAACGGG
rnacentral:rRNA from 1 species